UUAACUGCUGGGGCACCCAGGUGUGCUAAACCAAACCUCCUCGAACACAAUUAAUGUGGCCAUACCGAAGGCUCUGUUGGGUGUCUAAGUGAAUACAAGAUAGGUUAAACUUGUCUGAAAGCUGUUCUUGAAGUGUUUUGUCAUUUGCAGGUUUCCUACAAAUUUAUCUGCCCUGCUAGUUUGUCAGCGUCAUCCUCAUAUGGAUAUAAAGGGCUGUGACAUUCAUUCCCUGCCGCUGGAGACAGCAGAACUAUGGACAGCAGUCGCUCGGGAGCCCUUGCUUGCAGGUGGUGCAUAUGCAAAGAGUCUGCCAUGAAUCUGAAAAGGCAUCUGAACAGAAGCACGUUUCAGCCACCCGGGUGGUGAAAUGCGCUGUGUUUGAGCAGAGCUGAUAAGGUGCAAUUCAGCUGCUGUUUGGCUGGCUGAGUAAGCACUGCCUUGCAUGGCAAUGUCUGAUAAUGAGGUCCCAACCCGUAGCUCAGAAUUCCAGCCCAGUCUGCAAGGAUGAGAGAGAAUUUACAAAUCCACUAGCAUAACAGGAAAGAAUACAAAAUGGAUUUUAAAGGAUACAAAAGUAUAUGCACAAUGAUAUGCUUACAGUGUCCUUUUGCUCUACAAUUAAAAAUUAAAUAAAUAUUUCCAAUAGUAUGACCCAUCUACCACCAUUUUCUCCAAAACGACAGUGUGACAAACAUUGAGUUGUAUAGAUCUAAGCAAGUUCCCCUUCUAGAUAAGAACAACACUGGAAAUGUUUGGCAUGGCCUUUCACCCCUUCUUGAGGAGGUGUCCUGUGGCACUCUCGGGUGGGAGCUGUGCAGCACAGCCCGCAGCCACCUGCUCA